rnacentral:rRNA from 1 species
AAUGAACGCUGGCGGCAUGCCUAACACAUGCAAGUCGAACGGAGAACAGCUUGCUGUUCUUAGUGGCAAACGGGUGAGUAACGCGUGGGAAUCUACCUUUCUGUGGGGGAUAACUGGGGGAAACUUUAGCUAAUACCGCUUACGCUCGGAAACGAGGAAAGAUUUAUUGCAGAAAGAUGAGCCCGCGUCAGAUUAGGUAGUUGGUGGGGUAAUGGCCUACCAAGCCGACGAUCUGUAGCUGGUCUGAGAGGAUGAUCAGCCACACUGGGAUUGAGAUACGGCCCAGACUCCUACGGGAGGCAGCAGUGAGGAAUAUUGGACAAUGGGGGAAACCCUGAUCCAGCAAUGCCGCGUGAAUGAAGAAGGCCUUCGGGUUGUAAAAUUCUUUCACUCGUGAAGAUGAUGACGGUAGCGAGAGAAGAAGCUCCGGCUAACUCUGUGCCAGCCGCCGCGGUAA